UACAGAGGGGGCAAGCGUUAUUCGGAAUUAUUGGGCGUAAAGGGCGCGUAGGCGGCUUGGCAAGUGGAUGGUGAAAUCCCUCGGCUUAACCGAGGAACUGCCAUCCAGACUGCUUUGCUUGAGGCCGGGAGAGGUGAGUGGAAUUCCCAGUGUAGCGGUGAAAUGCGUAGAUAUCUGGAGGAAUACCGGUGGCGAAGGCGGCAUCCUGGACCGGCAUUGACGCUGAGGAGCGAAAGCCAGGGGAGCAAACGGG
rnacentral:rRNA from 1 species